GCAGCCGGACUAGCUUAGCUGGUAGAGCAGCGGCCUUGUAGACCGAGGUCGCAGGUUCGCGCCCUGCAAUGGCACCGCCA
rnacentral:tRNA from 1 species